rnacentral:rRNA from 1 species
ACGAACGCUGGCGGCGUGCUUAACACAUGCAAGUCGAACGGAAAGGCCCUGCUUUUGUGGGGUGCUCGAGUGGCGAACGGGUGAGUAACACGUGAGUAACCUGCCCUUGACUUUGGGAUAACUUCAGGAAACUGGGGCUAAUACCGGAUAGGAGCUCCUGCUGCAUGGUGGGGGUUGGAAAGUUUCGGCGGUUGGGGAUGGACUCGCGGCUUAUCAGCUUGUUGGUGGGGUAGUGGCUUACCAAGGCUUUGACGGGUAGCCGGCCUGAGAGGGUGACCGGCCACAUUGGGACUGAGAUACGGCCCAGACUCCUACGGGAGGCAGCAGUGGGGAAUAUUGCACAAUGGGCGGAAGCCUGAUGCAGCAACGCCGCGUGCAGGAUGACGGCCUUCGGGUUGUAAACCGCUUUCGCCUGUGACGAAGCGUGAGUGACGGUAAUGGGUAAAGAAGCACCGGCUAACUACGU